AUCCAGAAAGAAAAAAGAAAAAUGCAAGCCCGAUCCUGUCUGAUCUCAAAAGCUAAGCAGGGUCAGACCUGGUUAGUACUUGGAUGGGAGACCACCUAGGAAGACCAAGUUCUGUAGAUG
rnacentral:rRNA from 1 species